rnacentral:miRNA from 1 species
UUUUCAUUGGAUUAGUGUU